UAUUACCGAACGUUUUACCGAAGGCUCAGCUGUUGAAAAGUCGGUGAAAAAAGAAACGAAUUCGGUGAUUAAAUGUAAGUGUGUGGGGUCGAAGUUGUAGGCGUUUCAGUUCCUUCCUGAACUCGGAUUCUAGCAGGCAGUUGAGACCGCGAAUGAUCACUUUCAGCAGUUUGAUAUUGGGGAUGUUGUGGGUGUAGAAUUGGAAUUUACCAACAGUUAAUGCCUGUUUGACCUUGAUGUAAUCCAGGAGUGACGAGCACAUAAUUUUGAUUCUCGUACUGACUUAACGAACAGCGGUGGCACCUUGUCCUGAAUUUGUACUGGAGCUAAAUAGGAUUUCUCAAUAACGGGUAGAGCAGAGAGCGGGUUGCUUUGUAGCAGCGUUUUGUUCGAUCCAGGUUUUCUUAUUUUCUUACAAGGCUAAGUCGCAGAGCUGUUUUGAGAGAAAAAUCUGUGAAUAAAUUUUGGGCGGAGUCCAGGGCUAAUUUGCGUUUUUAACUUCAUCAUUCGGGUCCCUCCAGAACUGCCAAUUAUUAAUUUAAAAAGUUGAAAAAGUGGUUAAACGCAUGGCCGAAAUAUGUUUGCCUCUUUCUGAAACAAACAUAUUUUGGCCAUGCCCAGUUUUGACAUCUCUUUGAUUGCCGUUCGGCCGUUGCACGUGAACAAAGAAGCAGCUUGUGACAAUUUUCAGUAAUGCAACACAAACAAUUUACAAUUGAUCAGUCGUGGUUCACAUUCUCGAGUGCAAAGUUUCAACCCAAAAAAGUGAAGGUGUUAUUUUGGCUCUUGUUAAUACACCGAAAGCUUAUUACUGAGCGAUAGACAGGAUUGGCAUCUUAUUUAACCGCAUUCAAAUUCAUUCUUCACAAUGGUUAUUUCUCAGUGUCCGCAAACGAAACAACGCUACGAAUUGAAGACGGAAAUCCAUCAGAUGAUGAUCUCUCCUUGCUUCAGAGUUUUCGGAUGAGAAGUUUUCUCAUUGAAGAUGGAAUCGCGCGAUAAAUUAAUUUGGCAUAGUCAAUUAAAUUCUUACUGGCAACUAACUGACUCUUCCAUUGAACAUUUACUGAUAAAUUUUUUCAAACUACAAAUGUAACCAGCUACAUUUGAAUUUGUUCAGGUUUUUUUACGUCUGAAGAUGUUAUAGAUUAAGCAUGUAUAAACAAGUUUUGUUGGGAUUUAAAAAAGAAUUAACAAUUAGAAAUAAAAACUACAGUCUU